rnacentral:SRP_RNA from 5 species
CGCUGGACCCCGCGCGGCGUCUAUCCUGUGAACUCCCCCAGGGCUGGAAGGCAGCAAGGGUCAACGGGCUCUGUCGGGUGCGCGGGGUCCCCUUUCC